GACGAACGCUGGCGGCGUGCUUAACACAUGCAAGUCGAACGAAGAGCGAUGGAAGCUUGCUUCUAUCAAUCUUAGUGGCGAACGGGUGAGUGACGCGUAAUCAACCUGCCCUUCAGAGGGGGACAACAGUUGGAAACGACUGCUAAUACCGCAUACGAUCUAAUCUCGGCAUCGAGGAAAGAUGAAAGGUGGCCUCUAUUUAUAAGCUAUCACUGAAGGAGGGGAUUGCGUCUGAUUAGCUAGUUGGAGGGGUAACGGCCCACCAAGGCGAUGAUCAGUAGCCGGUCUGAGAGGAUGAACGGCCACAUUGGGACUGAGACACGGCCCAGACUCCUACGGGAGGCAGCAGUGGGGAAUCUUCCGCAAUGGACGAAAGUCUGACGGAGCAACGCCGCGUGAGUGAUGACGGCCUUCGGGUUGUAAAGCUCUGUUAAUCGGGACGAAAGGCCUUCUUGCGAACAGUUAGAAGGAUUGACGGUACCGGAAUAGAAAGCCACGGCUAACUACGUG
rnacentral:rRNA from 1 species